ACUCCUACGGGAGGCAGCAGUGGGGAAUAUUGCACAAUGGGGGAAACCCUGAUGCAGCCAUGCCGCGUGUGUGAAGAAGGCCUUCGGGUUGUAAAGCACUUUCAGUAGGGAGGAAGGUAGUGUAGUUAACACCUGCAUUAUUUGACGUUACCUACAGAAGAAGCACCGGCUAACUCCGUGCCAGCAGCCGCGGUAAUACGGAGGGUGCGAGCGUUAAUCGGAAUUACUGGGCGUAAAGCGCAUGCAGGCGGCCUGUUAAGUCAGAUGUGAAAGCCCGGGGCUUAACCUCGGAAUUGCAUUUGAAACUGGCAGGCUAGAGUCUUGUAGAGGGGGGUAGAAUUUCAGGUGUAGCGGUGAAAUGCGUAGAGAUCUGAAGGAAUACCAGUGGCGAAGGCGGCCCCCUGGACAAAGACUGACGCUCAGAUGCGAAAGCGUGGGGAGCAAACAGGAUUAGAUACCCUGGUAGGAUAGC
rnacentral:rRNA from 1 species